rnacentral:rRNA from 1 species
UAGGAGCUGUGGUAGGUGCGUAAUGUUCCCUACUAGAAAGGAGAGGGCAAGGCUGGUGCCAGCCGCCGCGGUAAAACCAGCUCUUCAAGUGGUCGGGAUAAUUAUUGGGCUUAAAGUGUCCGUAGCUGGUAAGGUAAGUUCCUGGUAAAAUUGGGCAGCUUAACUGUCCUUAUGCUAGGAAUACUGCUUUACUAGAGGGCGGGAGAGGUCUGAGGUACUACAGGGGUAGGAGUGAAAUCUUAUAAUCCUUGUAGGACCACCAGUGGCGAAGGCGUCAGACUGGAACGCGCCUGACGGUGAGGGACGAAAGCCAGGGGAGCGAACCGGAUUAGAUACCCGGGUAGUCCUGGCCGUAAACGAUGCACACUAGAUGAUGGUGCGGCCAUGAGCCGUAUCAGUGUCGUAGGGAAACCGUUAAGUGUGCCGCCUGGGAAGUACGGUCGCAAGGCUUAAACUUAAAGGAAUUGGCGGGGGAGCACCACAAGGGGUGAAGCCUGCGGUUCAAUUGGACUCAACGCCGGGCAACUUACCAGGGGAGACAGCAGAAUGAAGGUCAGGUUGACGACCUUACCUAACAAGCUGAGAGGAGGUGCAUGGCCGUCGCCAGUUCGUGCUGUGAGGUAUCCUGUUAAGUCAGGCAACGAACGAGACCCGUGCCUUUAUUUGCCAUCAAGAAGUCACGACUUCGUUGGGAACGAUAAAGGGACUGCCGUCGAUAAGACGGAGGAAGGAGCGGGCAAAGGCAGGUCAGUAUGCCCCGAAACCCCUGGGCUACACGCGGGCUGCAAUGGUGCGAACAAUGGGCUGUGACUCCGACAGGAGAAACCAAUCCCGAAAUCGCAUCUCAGUUGGGAUUGUCAACUGUAACCCGUUGACAUGAACGUGGAAUCCCUAGUAAUCGCGUGUCACCAUCGCGCG